CAUGGAAGGAAAAGGCAAUGUAGAGAAACCCACUGUUCCUUUUCCUUUUAGUUCUUCCUCAACCAUCAGUAAGUUAAAGAUAGAGUGCUUUGGUAGAAUAUGUGCAUGAUCAAUAGGUGGAAAAGAGACAGCUGAGUUGGCUUUGUGCAGCAUUACCACCAUCCUGGUAAGACAAAAUACCUAUGUAUGUAUGAGCCAUAAAAUAGAAAUUGGGUAAUUUCUGUGAUUCUGCCUUAAUUAAAUGCUCUUAUGUUCGCACAUACAACUGGCAUUCUAAAGAUGAACACUAUAAAGGUAAAUAGUAAAAUCUUCUGUUUAAUUUGAAAUUUCAAUUUUGUUCUACUUACAACAAAAUUCAAUUGCAAAGAAAAAGCAUCAUGACGAGAGAGAAAAAGACUGUGGAAGGAAA
rnacentral:lncRNA from 10 species